rnacentral:rRNA from 1 species
GAUGAACGCUGGCGGCGUGCCUAAUACAUGCAAGUCGAGCGAACAGACGAGGAGCUUGCUCCUCUGACGUUAGCGGCGGACGGGUGAGUAACACGUGGAUAACCUACCUAUAAGACUGGGAUAACUUCGGGAAACCGGAGCUAAUACCGGAUAAUAUAUUGAACCGCAUGGUUCAAUAGUGAAAGACGGUUUUGCUGUCACUUAUAGAUGGAUCCGCGCCGCAUUAGCUAGUUGGUAAGGUAACGGCUUACCAAGGCAACGAUGCGUAGCCGACCUGAGAGGGUGGUCGGCGACAGUGGAACGGAGACAGGGUCCAGAGGAGUAAGGGGGGAAGCAGGCGGGAAUAGUGGACAAAGGCCGAAAGUCUGACAGAGCAAUAACGAGGGGGUAACGAAGGAGUCAGGAUUGAAAAGCUGUUUGAUGAGGAAAGAAAAGCAGGGCAAGAGAACAUAGGGGGACUGACGGUACCGAAUCAAGAAGAAACGGCGAACUUGGUG